rnacentral:rRNA from 1 species
CCUACGGGAGAGCAGCAGUAGGGAAUUUUCGGCAAUGGGGGGAACCCUGACCGAGCAACGCCGCGUGAAGGAAGAAGGAAUUCGUUCUGUAAACUUCUGUUAUAAAGGAAGAAAGACGGAUGGAGGAAAUGACAUCCGAGUGACGGUACUUUAUGAGAAAGCCACGGCUAACUACGUGCCAGCAGCCGCGGUAAUACGUAGGUGGCAAGCGUUAUCCGGAAUUAUGGGGCGAAAAGAGGGAGCAGGCGGCAGCAAAGGCCUGUGGGGAAAGACUGAAGCUUAACUUCAGUAAGCCAUAGAAACCGGGCGGCUAGAGUGCAGGAGAGGAUCGUGGAAUUCCAUGUGUAGCGGUGAAAUGCGUAGAUAGAUGGAGGAACACCAGUGGCGAAGGCGACGAUCUGGCCUGCAACUGACGCUCAGUCCCGAAAGCGUGGGGAGCAAAUAGGAUUAGAUACCCUGGUAGUC